ensembl:lncRNA
CCCAGGGGGCGCUCUCGCGGCGGGGAGCAGUUAGCUGGUAUCAGCAACCGCACCAAGCCUAGCAAAGAGAACAGUGUGGAGGUAUUCGCAGUCAUCCCAAAGAGCAUUAUCACCGCUUUCUUCAGAGGCUUAUCCUGCCUGUCUGACCUUAGAUCUCACCCCCUCUACUCUGUCUGUCCUGCUCAUGCAUCUGCCUCAUGAGGACAGAACUUGUCUGGUGUCUCCUCUAUGACCACAGUGCCUCAGUGCCUGACACACCAAAGGUUAAGCACCUUGUCCCAGGCUGCCUGGUUCACUAAAAACAACAAAAUCCAGUGGGCACAUGCUACACACCUGAUACCAGCCUGGAUGCUGGUGGAGAGCAAGACAAAACAGGACUCUGCCCUUGGAACCUGAAGUUGGAGGUGAGCAGAGAGAAAGUCAAGUAUUUCAACAAAAAGCAGAUUAUCACUGCCGCAGAGCUAGGACUGGAAUCUGACUGUCACGCCUUCUAGUGAGAUUUCCUUUCCAAGCCCAAGGGUGCUGCCUUCUCCACCUAAAGGGACAUUUCAGCUGGGGAAACAGUCAAGUAAGUGUUUGAAGUUUGGCCUUAGUCUCUUCCAAGGGUCCCACACUCCUGCCAUCCUUUUAAUAGACUCCUAAGAAGCAGGAACACCCGUUGUAGCUCUAAGUAUUUAACCUUAAGAGCUCAUGCUGACUCCAAUCCUUCUACAUAAGACAGAGGAGCAAUUCCGGAUUUAGGUGGGAAUUAGGUGGGAAACAGAAAGCAGUGCAAACCAGGGGUCAGAUACUCUGGGUUCAAAUCCCUUCUAACCUCAGGCAGGUUACUCAGUCUCUUGUGAUUUGAUUUCCUAUUGCUGAAGUGGAAACACUAAUGCCUCUGUCACUGGUUGUUGCAAAGAUGAAAUUAAAAUGAUACCUACAGAGCACUCAGCACUGUGCCUGGAACUCAGUGAGAUUUCACCAAACAGAGGCUGCAAACCUGUUCCACCUGUUGCUUUAAUGACUCCAUCUCUACCUGAUAUAUUUGUGAAAAGUGAGCCAAAAACUACUCGGAAUUCAAACCCAAGGACAUACACUCAAAGUGUUCAAAACAUAAACUGCUAUCUAGUUGAGUGACUUGAGGAACUGUCUCAAAUUCCCAUACUUGGGCAGACUCUGCGAUCGCAUCUUGUCUCGUGGCAGGGGUCCAGACAUGGACUGGAUUCCACUGGUGCAAGUUGUAGCAGAGCUCGGAACGCCACACCUCAAACAAAGCGUAAGAACACAAUCGCAAGCCCAAGCUGAAUGGAAAGGAAUCUGGGGCCUUGACAGAGACACAAGAUAGAAGGAGUGUGGGUCCCUCAACAACCAUCAGGAAGGAUGCCUGCUAACCAGGAGCAGCCCCACUGGAACUUUUCUCUCUGAGAAAUAAAAGUUUUCUUGAGUUGACUCACUG